rnacentral:lncRNA from 1 species
GUGCUCUUGGUCCAUAUCUGCUUCUCCUUUUUGCAUUUCCCCCUGGCUUCAUUCUCUGAAGACUGCCUUUCUCUGGUCUUCAGUCCACAAAGAGGGCUGUAAUUAUAGGCCACAUGAAGAGGCAAGCUUCACACUGGACCUGAUUUUGAAAUUCCUGGGAAUUCUUAUAAAUCAAGACGAGGUAGUGGGCAUGGUCCUGAGAAGAAAACAAUCAAAUAGAUGGUGUGUGUGUCACGAUCUUUCAGUUCUCCCAAGUCCAACGAGCAAGCCACACACAGACAAGACUGACUAACUUGAAGAAAAGUGUUCUCUCUGCUACUUAAUUGCGGUCUGAAGGCAAGUCUGGGGAAUAAAUAAAAAUAAAUAAAAACGAUAGUAUAUAUU